rnacentral:lncRNA from 1 species
CGGAAGGCGGCUUCCUCUGGACACGAGCACAGGUGAGCUGUGUAGACGGGGCCUGCGUUAGCAAACAGCCCGCCCACCACGCUCCCUCCUCGUCCCAGGCGGUGAACUGCAGGGCGGGCGCACCUGUCUUGCUCAGCAUGUUGGAGGUGCCAGGCAGAAAAUGGGGUGAGGCCUGUGUUCGUGGGGCCCGGGGGAGGUGCCAGGUAGAAAA